rnacentral:rRNA from 1 species
UACGAAGGGGGCUAGCGUUGUUCGGAAUCACUGGGCGUAAAGGGCGCGUAGGCGGCCGAUCAAGUCGGGGGUGAAAGCCUGUGGCUCAACCACAGAAUUGCCUUCGAUACUGGUUGGCUUGAGACCGGAAGAGGUAAGUGGAACUGCGAGUGUAGAGGUGAAAUUCGUAGAUAUUCGCAAGAACACCAGUGGCGAAGGCGGCUUACUUGGUCCGGUUCUGACGCUGAG